CUUUAUUCAGCCGGGAGCUUCGGCAAGACUCACGUCUCCAAAAACCGAGCUCCCCGAGUGAGCAAUUCCUGUCCCUUUUAAGGGCUCACAACUCUAAGGGGGUCUGCGUGAGAGGGUCGUGAUCGAUUGAGCAAGUAGAGGGUACGUGACUGGGGGCUGCAUACACCAGUAAUUAUAACAGAACAGAACAGGACAGGGAUUUUCACAGUGCUUUUCUAUACAAUGCCUGUAAUCUAUAGAUAACAUAACUGAUUAGGUCAGGGGUCGAUCUUUAACUACCAAGCCCAGGGUGUGGCACCGGGCUGUCUGCCUGUGGACUUCAUUUCUGCCUUUUAGUUUUUACUUCUUCUUUCUUUGGAGGCAGAAACUGGGCAUAUGCAGACAAUAUGAGGGGUGGUCUCCUCCCUUAGUAAAGAUGAGGUUUCACCAUGUUGGUAGGGGAAGAUCAUUUGAGCACAGGAGUUCGAAU
rnacentral:lncRNA from 1 species